CUAUAGGGAUUAUGUUAUAUUUAUUUUGUAAAUAUCGUCAAAAUAUUAAGAAUAGGUGUUAAGCCAAGAGAAUGAAUAAUAAUAAAGAGGUUCAAAUAGUCACAAGAUACCUUGGUGUCGAUCAAGUGGUGUCAACUAAUGUUGAGGGCGAUGGUACUGCCUCCAGAGAUGUUAAAAUAGCUUCUGCACCACUAUUAGAACCAGCCACUAAGAACCAUUAUCCAGUACUCAACUUGUCAAACAAUGAGUAGUAGCAAUCAAGUUAACUGACCACAAGAAUGAUGAUUGGAAAAGAACACUGGAUAUUGGCUUUGAUUUUUGGACACAACGCAGACGUUUAGAUGUAAAUAAAACUAUACGAUCACAUAACUUUAUAUUGGUAGAGGGAAUCGUUCUACAACAUCACAGGUAGAUUUGCCUGAAUUGUUUCAGCCGGUGAUAACUGAGCAACCUAGUCAGGGACCCUGAAUCAACAGGGUAGGUAAGCUAGGUCAGUUAGGAGUAACAUCAACGAAUAAUGGUGGAUCACGUGGAGGUCGGAGUAUAUCAACGACUGAUGGUGGAUCACAUGGAGGUCGGAGUAUAUCAACGACUGAUGGUGGAUCACAUGGAGGUCGGAGUAUAUCAACGACUGAUGGUGGAUCACAUGGAGGUCGGAGUAUAUCAACGACUGAUGGUGGAUCACAUGGAGGUCGGAGUAUAUCAACGACUAAUGGUGGAUCAUAUGGAAGUCGGAGUUAUCAACGACUGAUGGUGGAUCACAUGGAGGUCGGAGUUAUCAACGAUAGUCGGAGUAGUUGCAGUACUUCUGAAUGACGGGAAUUGGCGUUGCAGAUAAACAAACGGAUUGUUGGAGUUGACAACGACGAUCGGAGGAGAAGUUCACCGGAGUCGGGGUUAUGAAGACAGUCCGCAGUUGAUGGUUGCGCCUUUUUCUAGAAUUAAGAAGUUCCGAUAUUUGAUGUUACGAGGAGUGUUAUGAUAGAAAUAUAACAACUUAGUUAUUCACACAAGAAUUGUAUGAACUAUACAUUGCUGGACAUUUAGAUGUUGUUGAACUUUUGAAAUGAUUUUGUUUAUGAAGAUUGUUUUUUUUUUUGUGGAAUUUGUAAGCAUUCAUAUUGUCACCGAUUUUAACUAAAAUAUAAAAUUAUAUUUCUUAAGAAAGGGAGGAAUGUGACAAUAUGAUGGGCUUAAAAUAUAUAUAUAUAUAUUUAUAUAUAUAUAUAUAUAUAUUUAUAUUUAUAUUUAUGAUUAUAUAUUCUCAAAAUGUUUAUUAAAUUGAAUAAAAUAAAUACAGGGGAAUAUCUAUUAAGAAAAUCAUGACCUUGGGAAAGGUUGUUUUAAUUGACCACUACGUUGCAUAUAACUUUAAAAACAUGUUUACAUGCAGACCAGAUGGUGACAUGUUGUAAUAACAAUUAGUUAAAAGACUGGACAUACGUGUAUUCUACAACUAUCAAUUUCCAGCUUGGUCAAAACAUGUCAAUUAGAGUCAACUUAAUAGAUAUUCACCCGUGUACCUUUAGAAUUAAAACUAUUAUUGUCAAAUUAAUAGAAACUUUGACAAACUGUUAUAUUCUGUAUAUAUACUUAUGUAUUUUCUGUAUGGGACACAUCGGCUCAUUUGGCGUAAAUAAACUGUUAACUAACUA